AGGAUAUUAGUUAAAUAAUAACACUUAAAUUGCAUUUAAAAAUUAUAUUAUAAUAUAUAUGUCUUU
rnacentral:tRNA from 1 species